CCAUUUCUGUUAUUACAGUGAUAGGAGCCAGCAGUUAAGAGACUUGGGCUUUAAGCUGGGAUUUUCUGUAAAUUCACUGUGUGAUGUGAUACAAGUCACUCAGCCUCUGGGACCUCAGUUUCCUCUUCUACAAUGAAGAGUUUGAAUGAGAUGAUCUUUGAAAGUCUUUUCCGUAUUUAACCUUCCAAGUUAUCUCCAAACUCAGAUGCAUGCUUUUCCAGCAAAUACCCUAAGCCUCAUCUAUGAGUAAUGCAUCCUCACUGUUCCUGGGGUGACUGGAAGGACCUGGCCUGUUUUCCCAUACACCUCACGGGCCAAGCAGUCACGUUAUAAGGGAGGGAGGCCCAGUAAAACAUGGUAAGUGGCAACUGACUUUGUAUCUCAGUUUUAGGGAGUAUAAGAGAAUGGUGGGGAUUGUGGCAAACUGAAGAGAAAGAGUCUUCCCAAAAAGGGGCAUCCUCUACCCAAGUUGACUCAAGUCAGUUGUUGCCACUGGGAAUGUGGGUCACUGGGACAGCCAGUUCUUCGUGUGGUGUUUUUUUUUUUUUUUUUUUUUUUUUGAGAUGGAGUCUCACUCUUUCUCCCAGGCUAGAGUGCACUGGUGCGAUCUCGGCUCACUGCAACCUCCGCCUCCUGGGUUCAAGCUAUUCUCCUGCCUCAGUCUCCCAAGUAACUGGUAUUAUAGGCAUGCGCCACCAUGCCUGGCUACUUUUUUGCAUUUUUAGUAGAGAUGGGGUU
rnacentral:lncRNA from 1 species